CAAGGAAUAGUUUAAUAAAAAUUUUAGUUUUGGAGAUUAAAGAUAAGAGGUUUUCUUUUCCUUGA
rnacentral:tRNA from 1 species